rnacentral:tRNA from 1 species
GGAAGCGUGCCUGAGAGGCCGAAAGGGCUUCACUGCUAAUGAAGUGCGGGUAACACCGCCGAGGGUUCGAAUCCCUCCGUUUCCGCCA